rnacentral:pre_miRNA from 1 species
AUCACCUGGGGAUCUUGUUAAAAUGCAGAUUCUGAUACAGUAGGUCCAGGGUGGGGCCUGAGAUUUUGCAUUUUUAGCAAGUUCCCAGGGAAGCAGA